GCCAGGAUAGCUCAGUGAUAGAGCAUGAGACACUUAAGCUCAGAGUUGUGGAUUCGAGCCCCACUUUGGGCA